UACGAAGGGUGCAAGCGUUACUCGGAAUUACUGGGCGUAAAGCGUGCGUAGGUGGUUUGUUAAGUCUGAUGUGAAAGCCCCCGGCUCAACUGGGGAGGGUCAUUCGAUACUGAUCGACUCGAAGGCAGGAGAGGGUAGUGGAAUUCCCGGUGUAGUGGUGAAAUGCGUAGAUAGUCGGGAGGAACACCAGUGGCGAAGGCGACUGACC
rnacentral:rRNA from 1 species